AUUGAACGCUGGCGGCAGGCUUAACACAUGCAAGUCGAGCGGAGAGAGGUAGCUUGCUACUGAUCUUAGCGGCGGACGGGUGAGUAAUGCUUAGGAAUCUGCCUAUUAGUGGGGGACAACAUUUCGAAAGGAAUGCUAAUACCGCAUACGUCCUACGGGAGAAAGCAGGGGAUCUUCGGACCUUGCGCUAAUAGAUGAGCCUAAGCCGGAUUAGCUAGUUGGUGGGGUAAAGGCCUACCCAGGCGACGAUCUGUAGCGGGUCUGAGAGGAUGGUCCGCCACACUGGGACUGAGACACGGACCAGACUCCUACGGGCGGCAGCAGUGGGGAAUAUUGGACAAUGGGCGGCAGCCUGAGCCAGCCAUGCCGCGUGUGUGAAGAAGGCCUUAUGGUUGUAAAGCACUUUAAGCGAGGAGGAGGCUACUUUAGUUAAUACCUAGAGAUAGUGGACGUUACUCGCAGAAUAAGCACCGGCUAACUCUGUGCCAGCCGCCGCAGUAA
rnacentral:rRNA from 1 species